UACGUAGGGUGCAAGCGUUAAUCGGAAUUACUGGGCGUAAAGCGUGCGCAGGCGGUUUUGUAAGUUUGUCGUGAAAGCCCCGGGCUCAACCUGGGAAUUGCGAUGAAGACUGCAAGGCUUGAAUCUGGCAGAGGGGGGUAGAAUUCCACGUGUAGCAGUGAAAUGCGUAGAGAUGUGGAGGAACACCGAUGGCGAAGGCAGCCCCCUGGGUCAAGAUUGACGCUCAUGCACGAAAGCGUGGGGAGCAACAGG
rnacentral:rRNA from 1 species